UCCCCGAUUUCCGGGGCAGUCUCCCUAGAGUUCCCGGCAUGACCCGAUGGGUGCUAGGUGUGGGUGGUGUCGACUCCAUCUGUGCCGAAGCUAACGCAUUAAGCACCCCGCCUGGGGAGUACGGCCGCAAGGCUAAAACUCAAAGGAAUUGACGGGGGCCCGCACAAGCGGCGGAGCAUGUUGCUUAAUUCGAUGCAACGCGAAGAACCUUACCUAGGCUUGACAUGCACGGAAAUCCUCCAGAGAUGGGGGGUCCGUAAGGGUCGUGCACAGGUGGUGCAUGGUUGUCGUCAGCUCGUGUCGUGAGAUGUUGGGUUAAGUCCCGCAACGAGCGCAACCCUCGUCCUAUGUUGCCAGCACGUGAUGGUGGGGACUCAUAGGAGACUGCCGGGGUCAACUC
rnacentral:misc_RNA from 1 species